rnacentral:rRNA from 1 species
CUACGGGUGGCUCCAGUGAGGAAUAUUGCACAAUGGAGGAAACUCUGAUGCAGCAACGCCGCGUGGAGGAUGACGCAUUUCGGUGUGUAAACUCCUUUUAUAUGUCAAGAAAAUGACGGUAGCAUAUGAAUAAGCUCCGGCUAACUCCGUGCCAGCAGCCGCGGUAAUACGGAGGGAGCAAGCGUUACUCGGAAUCACUGGGCGUAAAGGACGCGUAGGCGGGAUAGAAAGUCAGGUGUGAAAUCCUAUGGCUCAACCAUAGAACUGCACUUGAAACUUCUAACCUAGAGUAUGGGAGGGGAAGAUGGAAUUAGUGGUGUAGGGGUAAAAUCCGUAGAUAUCACUAGGAAUACCAAGAGCGAAGGCGGUCUUCUGGAACAAUACUGACGCUAAGGCGUGAAAGCGUGGGGAGCAAACAGGAUUAGAUACCCUGGUAGUC